UACAGAGGUCUCAAGCGUUUGUUCGGAUUCAUUGGGCGUAAAGGGUGCGUAGGUGGCGCCGUAAGUCGGGUGUGAAAUUUCGGAGCUUAACUCCGAAACUGCAUUCGAUACUGCGGUGCUUGAGGACUGGAGAGGAGACUGGAAUUCAUGGUGUAGCAGUGAAAUGCGUAGAGAUCAUGAGGAAGACCAGUGGCGAAGGCGAGUCUCUGGACAGUUACUGACGCUGAGGCACGAAGGCCAGGGGAGCAAACGGGG
rnacentral:rRNA from 1 species